rnacentral:rRNA from 1 species
AUGCACGCUGGCGGCGUGCCUAAUACAUGCCAGUCGAGCGAACAGACGAGGAGCUUGCUCCUCUGACGUUAGCGGCGGACGGGUGAGUAACACGUGGAUAACCUACCUAUAAGACUGGGAUAACUUCGGGAAACCGGAGCUAAUACCGGAUAAUAUAUUGAACCGCAUGGUUCAAUAGUGAAAGACGGUUUUGCUGUCACUUAUAGAUGGAUCCGCGCCGCAUUAGCUAGUUGGUAAGGUAACGGCUUACCAAGGCGACGAUGCGUAGCCGACCUGAGAGGGUGAUCGGCCACACUGGAACUGAGACACGGUCCAGACUCCUACGGGAGGCAGCAGUAGGGAAUCUACCGCAAUGGGCGAAAGCCUGACGGAGCAACGCCGCGUGAGUGAUGAAGGUCUUCGGAUCGUAAAACUCUGUUAUUAGGGAAGAACAAAUGUGUAAGUAACUAUGCACGUCUUGACGGUACCUAAUCAGAAAGCCACGGCUAACUACGUG